CAGCUUUUCAUCAGGAUGCAUGCAAGGGGAAUGAGAGAGAAAUGAAUGGCAGGAGGAAGCAUGCUGCUACCUUGCUGUGAGUUCCUCUAUGAAGAAACCUGUGUGGCAAGGAACUAUGUCUGUAGCCAAUAAGGAACCAUGACCCUCAACCAAGUAGGCCAGAAUUCCAUCAACAGAUACACGGUGGAACUUGUGAGCUGGCGGGGAGAAGGGGGGUCACACAGCAUCCAGGACAGCUGGGGCACAGGGAAUUGAUAGGGCUGAAAACACCAACAUCAAGAAGUGUUUACUGCUCUAAAUGUAUAGUCAGCGUGGAUUCCAGCAUUCUCACAUGACUGAGACUGACCUGCAAGCUAUGAGGAUUCCUCUCAUGGAAACACAACCGUCCCUCAAGUCACAGGACUCAAGCUGAACUAUGAAACCAGGGCUGGGAUAAUAAUCAACUGGGCCCUGGCCCACCUUCGCUAAUCCUUAAAAACUGUUCUCCUGCCCUUGUGCGUGGCCCCAUCUGAUCAUCCUCCCAAGAGUCUGAACGUCCUCCCAAGAGCUGCUUCCUUCAGUUACUCAAGCUGAAGUCCUUUCCCUAUAUCAUUUUACUUUCCUGGUUAGGGGACCAGCUUGAUCUUUGUCAGAGCUGCACUCACCCUAUGUUCUAUUACUUUUAAUUAAAGCUCUUUUCCUACAAA